rnacentral:lncRNA from 10 species
AGGCCGCGGGAGCUGGAAGGCUGGCGGAAGCUGUGUCACAGCGCGCCCCUGCGCCCACCACCCAGACAAGAGAGAUCUAAGUCAGAAAGGGGAGACGGAGACACGGACACACCCAGAGGGAGAGCGCCGUGUGGAGACAGAGGCUGAGGCCGACCUGCCGUGGCAGAAGCCAGGGAAGCCCGCAGAUGGGCAGCAGAGCAGAAGCUGGGACAGAGGCCCCGAGCGGAGGCACCUUCUCGGUCCUUGGCAGAAGCCCGCCCUGCCUGCGCCUUCCUCUCGGACUGCUAUUCCCCGAGCCGGGAGAGAGGCCAUCUCUGCUGGGAAAGCCACUCAAAGUUUGUAACGCUUUGUGACCGCAGCCACAGGAUGCUAAUGAAGCCACCUGACUGUCCCCUCCUGAAGGGUGGGGCCUGGGCCUUGCCCCAUCUCGCAUACCCGGCUCCCUGAGCAUAUGUGGCCCUGCGCGCAGGGGCCCCAUGAGCUUGCCCGCUGCCCCUGCCUGCUUGUGCUGCCCGGGGCCAGCCUGGAAACCACCUUCCUUGGACUCACUGGUGAUCAGCUCCCCCGACAUCCUAGGAGGGGCCGCUGCGAGCGGAGAGGGACCCCUCACACCAUACAGACAAACCAACCCAGAGCACAUCACAGGCUGAUGUGUAGUGUGGCCCAAAGUAUGAAACUCUCAGAAGAAAAUGGGAUAAAACUUCACGACCUUGGAUAUGGCAAUAGUUCCUUCACUAGGACACCAAAAGCAUGAGCAACAAGAGAAAAACAGAUCAACUGAACCUCAUUCAACUCAACACUUUUGUGCACCAAAGGACAAUAUCGAGACAGUGAAAAAGACAACCUACAGACUGGGAGAAAACUCUGGACUGGUGAACCACACAUCUGAUGAGGGUGCAGUAUCCAGAAUAUACAAAGAGCUUUUACA